CCUACGGGCGGCAGCAGUGAGGAAUAUUGGUCAAUGGCCGGAAGGCUGAACCAGCCAUGCCGCGUGAAGGUCAGUGCCCUAUUGGCGUUAAACUUCCUUUGUGCGGGAGCAAUAAUGGUCACGUGUGGCCAGACGAGAGUACCGUACGAAUAAGCAUCGGCUAACUCCGUGCCAGCAGCCGCGGUAAUACGGGGGAUGCAAGCGUUAUGCGGAUUUAUUGGGUUUAAAGGGGGCGUAGGCUGUGAGGUAAGUCAGCGGUGAAAUGCCCGCGAUCAACGGGGUGAAGUGCCAUUGAUACUGGCUUGCUGGAAUGCGGAUGCCGUGGGAGGAAUGUGUGGUGUAACGGUGGAAUGCAUA
rnacentral:rRNA from 1 species